rnacentral:misc_RNA from 1 species
AAAUGCGAUAAGUAAUGUGAAUUGCAGAAUUCAGUGAAUCAUCGAAUCUUUGAACGCACUUUGCGCUCCUUGGUAUUCCUUGGAGCAUGCCUGUUUGAGUAUCAUGAAAUCUUCAAAGUAAAUCUUUUGUUAACUCAAUUGGUUUCUACUUUGGUAUUGGAGGUCUUUGCAGCUUCACACCUGCUCCUCUUUGUUCAUUAGCUGGAUCUCAGUGUUAUGCUUGGUUCCACUCGGCGUGAUAAGUUAUCUAUCGCUGAGGACACUGUAAAAGGUGGCCAAGGUAAAUGCAGAUGAACCGCUUCUAAUAGUCCAUUGACUUGGACAAUACUUUUAUGAUCUGAUCUCAAAUCAGGUAGGACUACCCGCUGAACUUAAGC